ACUCGUCAGGGCGAGUAUAAACAGUCCAUUAGGCCCUGAGCGUCCCCCCACCCGCUGUGGGGGGGUUGGA
rnacentral:ribozyme from 1 species